GCCUAUGGCCAUACCACCCUGAACGUGCCUAAUCUCGUUUGAUCUCGGAAGCUAAGCAGGGUUGGACCUGGUUAGUACUUGGAUGGGAGACCGUCUGGGAAUACUAGGUGCUAUAGGCU
rnacentral:rRNA from 1 species